GGAGGAUCCGAGCGUUAUCCGGAUUUAUUGGGUUUAAAGGGAGCGUAGGUGGAUUGUUAAGUCAGUUGUGAAAGUUUGCGGCUCAACCGUAAAAUUGCAGUUGAAACUGGCAGUCUUGAGUACAGUAGAGGUGGGCGGAAUUCGGUGGUGUAGCGGUGAAAUGCUUAGAUAUCACGAAGAACUCCGAUUGCGAAGGCAGCUCACUAGACUGUUACUGACACUGAUGCUCGAAAGUGUGGGUAUCAAACAGGAUUAGAUACCCUGGUAGUCCACACAGUAAACGAUGAAUACUCGCUGUUUGCGAUAUACAGUAAGCGGCCAAGCGAAAGCAUUAAGUAUUCCACCUGGGGGGUACGCCGGCAACGGUG
rnacentral:rRNA from 1 species